CGAAAGAUUAUUUUAUCAAAACCAUGGAUUCAGAUCAAAUCUUUAUGUUUUCUGAUAGGGGAUGAUGGAACGAUCUAUGAGGGAAGGGGUUGGAAUUUUCGUCCUCACCAUCUAGACCAGUUUCCAUCCAUGGAUGGGCAAAUGCUGGACUUCGCUUGCAUCGGCAAUUUCAGAAAGGAACUUCGCCCAGACGCCAUGUACGAUGCUCAAUGGAAGCUCCUCAACCUAGGAAUUGAGUUGAAAUAUCUAGCAAAACAUGCCCAUUAU